UAACAGGCUGCUCAGUCUUCUCUCAGAGAUGAGGCCUCAAUUUCAAUUUCCUGAAACUUGAGCAAGCAGUUUCUGGGAGGGCCAUGAACAAAAGACAUAUCGGUAGAGUGUCCUGUAGGAAAAGAG